rnacentral:rRNA from 1 species
AUUGAACGCUGGCGGCAGGCCUAACACAUGCAAGUCGAGCGGAUGAAGGGAGCUUGCUCCUGGAUUCAGCGGCGGACGGGUGAGUAAUGCCUAGGAAUCUGCCUGGUAGUGGGGGAUAACGUCCGGAAACGGGCGCUAAUACCGCAUACGUCCUGAGGGAGAAAGUGGGGGAUCUUCGGACCUCACGCUAUCAGAUGAGCCUAGGUCGGAUUAGCUAGUUGGUGGGGUAAGGGCCUACCAAGGCGACGAUCCGUAACUGGUCUGAGAGGAUGAUCAGUCACACUGGAACUGGGACACGGUCCAGACUCCUACGGGAGGCAGCAGUGGGGAAUGUUGGACAAUGGGCGAAAGCCUGAUCCAGCCAGGCCGCGUGUGUGAAGAAGGUCUUCGGAUUGUAAAGCACUUUAAGUUGGGAGGAAGGGCAGUAAGUUAAUACCUUGCUGUUUUGACGUUACCGACAGAAUAAGCACCGGCUAACUUCGUG